AGGUUAGGUCUGAAGAAGGAGCGCAUGCUCCGUAAACACGUCGCCUAUUGGUCCCCCGUUACCCGGAAGUGAAGACAUCCCCCUGGCUCCAUCUGCAUGCGCUCCAGACACAGGAAAUGUCGGCACCCACCGGCGCAGCCUGCAUACAGAGACCGCAGCCAUCAGCAUACAGAUCUACAGCCUUCACCAACGUUUGGCUCUUAUGCCAUACGCCUGUUAUGAUCGUGCCUUUGUCUGGGGCUCCCACGAAUGGAUCGUUGAGUCUUCAUUGAGCAGAAUGAACACUCUGAUGGGGUUAAUGCGGACACUGUCCAGCCGUACAGAAUGUUCCAUCUCUCCAACAACAUGGCCUGUGUUUUAUGUCACGGAGAAGCAGGAAAUCCUCAUCGCGGCUCCACUAUCUACUAAUCUGAUUGGAGCUCAUUGAAAGAGAAGAGCCAUCCCGAAGAUCCGGUCACUGUCCCCCCACCGGAUGCCGGCUCUGAUAAAGGGACAGUAACCCUGAAAACACAACAACUAUGUGAAAAAGACAGUAAUGGCGUUCACAGAUAUGUGUGUGAAGGUUCUUACGUCCAAGGCCAAUAUUAAACAUCAGGGGCUCAGGUCAAAGGUCAUUGUAGCUGUUCUCAUCCCAGUUAUAAAACAUGAUAAAUGUUAUCUGACGUCA